UGGUUGUCCAAGUGGAAGGAUGUAGUUAGGUUUAGUAGGCAAAUCCGCUAGACUAUUAAUGAGAUCUGAUAGCAAGCUGUACUUGUACAGCGAAGUGGCAAAUACCCUGCUUCCAGGAAAAGCUUCUAAGCGAUAGUCAUAAAGAAAUCGUACCCUAAACCGACACAGGUGGUCAGGUGGAGAAUACCAAAGCGCUUGAGAGAACUCUGCUGAAGGAACUAGGCAAAAUGGUACCGUAACUUCGGGAGAAGGUACGCUGCCGAUGGUGAGUAGUCAUGCACUACAAAGCUAUUGGCAGUCGCAGAUACCAGGCCGCUGCAACUGUUUAUUAAAAACACAGCACUCUGCAAACACGAAAGUGGACGUAUAGGGUGUGAUGCCUGCCCGGUGCUGGAAGGUUAAUUGAUGGGGUUAGCGUAAGCGAAGCUCUUGAUCGAAGCCCCAGUAAACGGCGGCCGUAACAAUAACGGUCCUAAGGUAGCGAAAUUCCUUGUCGGGUAAGUUCCGACCUGCACGAAUGGCAUAAUGAUGGCGGCGCUGUCUCCAGCAGAGACUCAGUGAAAUCGAAAUCGCAGUGAAGAUGCUGUGUACCCGCGGCUAGACGGAAAGACCCCGUGAACCUUUACUACAGCUUUACACUGAACUUUGACCUUACCUGUGUAGGAUAGGUGGGAGGCUUUGAAGCAGGCACGCCAGUGUCUGUGGAGCCAUCCUUGAAAUACCACCCUGGUAAUGUUGGGGUUCUAACUCAAGCUUAACAGAGCUGAGGACAAUGUAUGGUGGGUAGUUUGACUGGGGCGGUCUCCUCCUAAAGAGUAACGGAGGAGUACGAAGGUGCGCUCAGAACGUUCGGAAAUCGUUCGAAGAGUAUAAAGGCAAAAGCGCGCUUAACUGCGAGACCCACAAGUCGAGCAGAUACGAAAGUAGGUCUUAGUGAUCCGGUGGUUCUGUAUGGAAGGGCCAUCGCUCAACGGAUAAAAGGUACUCUGGGGAUAACAGGCUGAUACCGCCCAAGAGUUCAUAUCGACGGCGGUGUUUGGCACCUCGAUGUCGGCUCAUCUCAUCCUGGGGCUGAAGCAGGCCCCAAGGGUAUGGCUGUUCGCCAUUUAAAGAGGUACGCGAACUGGGUUUAGAACGUCGUGAGACAGUUCGGUCCCUAUCUACCGUGGGCGUUGGAAAUUUGAGAGGAUCUGCUCCUAGUACGAGGGGACCAGAGUGGACGAACCUCUGGUGUUUCGGUUGUGACGCCAGUCGCAUUGCCGAGUAGCUAUGUUCGGAUGGGAUAACCGCUAAAAGCAUCUAAGCGGGAAGCCCACCUUAAGAUUAGAUUUCCCUAAAGAGCCGUUGUAGACUACGACGUUGAUAGGUUGGGUGUGGAAGCAUAGUGAUAUGUGUAGCUAACCAAUACUAAUUGCUCGUUUGGCUUGACC
rnacentral:rRNA from 1 species